AAUGGGUAUAAAAUUAUACAAAUAUUGUAUUUAAAAAAUUUUGGAUUAAAAAUAACUCUUUUACAUUAAUCAAUUGGUUUUAUAUUUCACUCCAAGCUGAAAAGUCUAAACUUCGCAGAAACAUGCUGGAUAUCGGCAAACGAUUAAUCUAGCGCUCUUUGUUCUACCAUAACUGUACGAGCUCUAUAACUGGGAGCGCAACUUUGGCAUUGAUAUGUAUUACAUGAAUUACACUGCCGGUCCAAAGUAUAACUUCAGUGUAUUCAAUUACAAAUAUUACAAUGUGGGCAAUAAAGUCCUAAGAUAGUUUAUAUUGAGUUGGAAUUAUAUGAAAGUGAUAUAGAGCAGGACGGCUGUAAGUUAAUAAACGGCGUGCACAAAAGUCGAUUUUUGAAAAUUAUGGUGAGGAAGAUUAUUUGAGUUGUCAACUUGACGGCGAAGUGUCCGAUUUUAGCAAAUAAACUAUAUAUCGUCAAUAACUACACUUUGGAAGAGGAAUCACUUCCUUCAUUCGUGUCGUCAAUGCACUGGAUAAUUGAAACUAAAUUUGUGCUUAACAAAAACUACGUUGGUAAUAUGAUUCUUCAGGGUAAUUUUUUCAAACUUAAAACGAAUGCCACAAA